rnacentral:rRNA from 1 species
UACGUAGGGGGCAAGCGUUGUCCGGAUUUAUUGGGCGUAAAGAGCGUGUAGGCGGCUUUACAGGUCCGUUGUGAAAACUCGAGGCUCAACCUCGAGACGCCGGUGGAAACCGUAAGGCUAGAGUCCGGAAAGAGGAGAGUGGAAUUCCUGGUGUAGCGGUGAAAUGCGCAGAUAUCAGGAGGAACACCCGUGGCGAAAGCGGCUCUCUGGGACGGUACUG